rnacentral:rRNA from 1 species
CCUACGGGAGGCUGCAGUGGGGAAUAUUGCACAAUGGGCGAAAGCCUGAUGCAGCAACGCCGCGUGAGCGAUGAAGGCCUUCGGGUCGUAAAGCCCUAUCAGCAGGGCAGAAGAAAUGACGGUACCUGAGUAAGAAGCACCGGCUAAAUACGUGCCAGCAGCCGCGGUAAUAUGUAUGGUGCAAGCGUUAUCCGGAUUUACUGGGUGUAAAGGGAGCGCAGGCGGCACGGCAAGCCUGAUGUGAAAGCCCGCGGCCCAACCGCGGGACUGCAUUGGGAACUACCGGGCUGGAGUGCCGGAGAGGUAGGCGGAAUUCCUAGUGUAGCGGUGAAAUGCGUAGAUAUUAGGAGGAACACCAGUGGCGAAGGCGGCCUACUGGACGGUGACUGACGCUGAGGCUCGAAAGCGUGGGGAGCAAACAGGAUUAGAUACCCCAGUAGUC